UACGUAGGGUGCAAGCGUUAAUCGGAAUUACUGGCGUAAAGCGUGCGCAGGCGGUUUGCAAGACAGAUGUGAAAUCCCCGGGCUCAACCUGGGAACUGCAUUUGUGACUGCAAGGCUAGAGUACGGUAGAGGGGGAUGGAAUUCCGCGUGUAGCAGUGAAAUGUGUAGAUAUGCGGAGGAACACCGAUGGCGAAGGCAAUCCCCUGGACCUGUACUGACGCUCAUGCACGAAAGCG
rnacentral:rRNA from 1 species